rnacentral:tRNA from 1 species
GCUAGUGUAGCUUAAAUAAAGCAUAACACUGAAGAUGUUAAGAGUAAGCCCUAGAAAGCUUCACUGGCA